rnacentral:rRNA from 1 species
AGAACGAACGCUGGCGGCAUGCCUAAUACAUGCAAGUCGAACGAACACUUCGGUGUUAGUGGCGCACGGGUGCGUAACGCGUGGGAAUCUGCCCUUGGGUUCGGAAUAACAGUUGGAAACGACUGCUAAUACCGGAUGAUAUCGAAAGAUCAAAGAUUUAUCGCCCAGGGAUGAGCCCGCGUAGGAUUAGCUAGUGGUGAGGUAAGGCUCACCAAGGCGACGAUCCUUAGCUGGUCUGAGAGGAUGAUCAGCCACACUGGGACUGAGACACGGCCCAGACCUCCGUACGGGAGGCCAGCAGGUACGGGAAUAGUUGGACAAGUGGGCGACGAAGCCUUAGGAACUCCAGCAAUGGCCGCGUGAGUGAUAGGAGGUCCGUUAGGGUAGUAAA